rnacentral:lncRNA from 1 species
GCUCAUUCUAUUCGGCUGUGGCACGUUGGCCUACUGCUUGAAAAUUGCCAUUCUUCCAAGGAACAGUGGUAGCCUACAGUACAAGCAAUGGCUGUCUCCGUCUCUCUUAGUCACCGUGAGACAGUGAAAUUCUCACUGCCUUGCUCAAGCUUUAGAUAAUUAAAAUUAGCUCGUGUCACCGCAGUGAGUGACGGUGGCUGAUGCAGUGAUGUUGUUCAUGGAUUGGAACUGAAGGGAGCUUCAGUCAGGACAAAGAUUAUGGCUUCCUCAAGCUCCUUGUCAUGGUCUCUGGGAGACCUUGCAUGACAUACAUUGGAUACGUCAGCACAACAUACCUGCAAAUAUUCAGCAAGACUUUUGGAGUGAACCCGACUAGUGAAUGCCUGUCUGACGUUUUUGGGGAUAGUGCACGGAAUGGAAGUAAGGUGCACUUUUCUUGCUGCUACUGCCCUAGUAAGUUGUGAAAAUCUAAUGUUAGUUUAUAGAGUGAGUAAUUGAAAUGACCUUUUAGUGAUGACAAUUAUUUCGCCCCUAUCUGAACUUCAGUGUUGAUUCUGUGCUCGAUUGGUCUUGCUGAUGCAGAAUUAGAAAGUAAUGUGCAAGGCCCUCGACGAUUAAAUAUUCAUGG